ensembl:misc_RNA Metazoa_SRP Metazoan signal recognition particle RNA
GCUGGGUGUGGUGGCGCGCGUCUGUAAUCCCAGCUACUCAGGAGGCUGAGGCAGGAGAAUCGCUUGAACCCAGGAGGUGGAGGUUGCAGUGAGCCAAGAUUGCGCCACUGCACUCCAGCCUGGGUGACAGAGUGAGAUUCCGUCUCAA